rnacentral:tRNA from 1 species
GCCGACUUAGCUCAGUAGGUAGAGCAACUGGCUUGUAAUCAUCAGGUCACCAGUGCGAUUCCGGUAGUCGGCACCA